GCGUUCUUUUCCUCCCCUCAAAGGACAAAAUAAAUGUCCUAUUGUAUACUGCUCAAUCCAAAAGCGAGUAACAUUUAUUUUAUUUCCAGCAAACGGCGGCAGUGUCGACCCCCGGCCACGCUUACUGAUGACGGUUCAUCCCUCUCUUUGGAAUCCAAAGCGAAAAAGGAGCCAAUAAGAAGGAGUACGCGAUGAUUUUUCAAGCUCAGCCUAGGCCCCCUUUGAAAAUAUCUGAGAAUCAGUCAGUGUCAGGGAGCGAGGAUGUUCCACACAAUGUGUCACUGCCUGCCCAGCUCUCGUGGUGGAUGGCGAGAUCGGCUGUUGUGAAAAGGAGGUGGAGGAGGAGGAGCGGAUCCAAAAAUGAAGUCAGCACGCCAGAAAACAAAUGAGCAAGGCUGGGUCCCUCUCACGGCACAUGUGCGCGCCUGUAUAUAUAUUUAGUAAUUUUUGAUGAAGUGUCUGCUGGCCGCAUCAACAGCUUAAUAGAGAGGAUGAGCACGCCGCCGCCGCCACCGCUGGAUAAUUUAUUUGUGUGCACCGACUGACUGCCAAUGCCGAUGCUGCUCGCCGUGCCUCUGAAUAAUAUCUGCUGCAAGGUAUAUUCGGAGGGUUUUGGCCCAGGGUGACAUGCUCAACUGGCACCACUCCAGCUCCGACGCGAGACCAAGAAACUCUUUGUGAAACAACGUUGCCAAAACGACGAUUAUUUGGUCUGGCCUUUGGGGAAAAACAGCAUCUCUCUCGUCGGGACCGUUUUCUGACUCGCCGUCGUGUGUGCGUGCGUGCCACUGGCCAAGGAAAAAAACUGCGAGCUCUGCUCUUGUGCAGAUUAGAAAAAAUCGCACCGCGGCUUGGCAGCUGGAAAAAAAUGGCGCGAGGGAGGCAGAUCUGAUCACACACAGUGAGACGGUUUUGCAGCGUGCAGAAUUGGAACGGGACGCACGGCUUGUCAGGAAGAGUCUCCUCCUUUUGGCUUGAAUCGAGAAUGACUUGUCCUAUAUGGAUGCUUUUUACAAAUUAAUGUUUCAAACGGCAAAAUUUCAGGGAAGUGA